rnacentral:piRNA from 1 species
UCCUGAAAGCUUUGAUCUCCAAAAGGGCC